AUCGCACCUUUAAUAAAACAAAGAUGUAACUCAAAAUUUGUGGAUUUGGAGAUUUUACAAUAAAACCCGUCUUCGUCGCGUAAAGAAUAGGUAGACUUCGACUCCGGCGUUUUAACUAUAAGAUACAGAGAGAUACGCGACUGUUGCUCUCUUUUCUAUCAACUGGAACUGACAAGUCAGUUCUUAUAAAGUGGCGUGAUUCAGAGAUGCACCGGCAGUGAGCGGAGAUUAAAGUGCUGCCGUUUUGAGUAACAUCAAAUAAUUCGAUAUUAGAUUAAAAGGGAUUUAAAAUAAAAAG
rnacentral:misc_RNA from 1 species